GUGAAGAGCAGGCUGAGAAAACCAAAGGGAAAAGAAGGAAGGCUCAGAGCAUUCCAGCCAGGAAGAGAAAACAAAGUGGCCUCUUAUUAGACGAAGAGGAAGACGGCGAGGAAGACUCUGGAGGCAGCAGUAGGGAAGAAGAUGAAGAGGAGCAAGAAGGAGGCCUUGGGUCAGAGACUUCGAGGAAGAAGAAGGAAGAUGAAUUGUGGGCCAGCUUCCUUAAUGAUGUAGGAACAAAGUCAAAAGCAGCCUCAAGUUCACAAGUUAAGGUAGCAGAGGAGACUGAAGAGACUAGUUCAAGUAAACCAUUGGUGAAAGCAGAUGAACUAGAGAAACCUAAAGAAUCAGAAAAGGUGAAGAUUACCAAGGUGUUUGACUUUGCUGGCGAAGAAGUAAGGGUGACUAAGGAAGUAGAUGCUACAUCUAAGGAAGCCAAGUCUUUCCUCAAGCAAACAGAGAAAGAAAAACCACAGGCUCUUGUCACUUCAGCGGCAACACCACCCCCUGCUGGGUCAGGGUACAUCGAACGGAAAGCUUUUCUGGAGCGCGUGGACCACAGGCAGUUUGAAAUUGAGCGAGAUCUCAGGCUGAGCAAAAUGAAACCUUGAUGUUCUGGGGAGAAUUCGUAGCAGCUUAAUUCUGUUGACAAUGUGAGCUCUUCUCUGUGUCUGUGAAAUCUCCAGUGGUCUCCGUCAUGUUUCCAGCAAGUCCCUUUUUCUACGUUGCAGUUUGGUUAAUGUAUCUUAAUCUCACCUGGUUUCAUUUUACUUUUUAAAAUUUGUUUUUAAAUAAACAAAUAGAAGCCCUCUGUGAGGUUGGUG
rnacentral:lncRNA from 1 species